AGUGAACGCUGGCGGUAGGCCUAACACAUGCAAGUCGAACGGCAGCACAGUAAGAGCUUGCUCUUACGGGUGGCGAGUGGCGGACGGGUGAGGAAUACAUCGGAAUCUACUUUUUCGUGGGGGAUAACGUAGGGAAACUUACGCUAAUACCGCAUACGACCUACGGGUUAAAGCAGGGGAUCUUCGGACCUUGCGCGAUUGAAUGAGCCGAUGUCGGAUUAGCUAGUUGGCGGGGUAAAGGCCCACCAAGGCGACGAUCCGUAGCUGGUCUGAGAGGAUGAUCAGCCACACUGGAACUGAGACACGGGCCAGACUCCUACGGGAGGCAGCAGUGGGGAAUAUUGGACAAUGGGCGCAAGCAUGAUCCAGCCAUACCGCGUGGGUGAAGAAGGCCUUCGGGUUGUAAAGCCCUUUUGUUGGGAAAGAAAAGCAGCAGGUUAAUACCCCGCUGUUCUGACGGUACCCAAAGAAUAAGCACCGGCUAACUUCGU
rnacentral:rRNA from 1 species